CACCCGUUUAUUUUCAUCCUCACAUAAGUUAGGUUAUGCCUGUUUGGUUUUAGGUUGGGGUGACCACGGAGUAUAAAACAACCUCCAUGAAAAAAGGACCAAAAAUCCUUAUUAGAGAAAGACAUUUCUAAAAUUAAUAAAUUAAUUUUUAAUGAUCCGAUAUUCGAUCAACGAACCAAGUUACCCUGGGGAUAACAGCGCAAUCCACUUCAAGAGCUCCUAUCGACAAGUGGGUUUACGACCUCGAUGUUGGAUCAGGGUAUCCUAGUGGUGCAGCAGCUACUAACGGUUCGUUUGUUCAACGAUUAA
rnacentral:rRNA from 1 species